rnacentral:rRNA from 1 species
UGGGGAAUAUUGGACAAUGGGCGCAAGCCUGAUCCAGCCAUGCCGCGUGAGUGAUGAAGGCCUUAGGGUUGUAAAGCUCUUUCGCGCGCGACGAUAAUGACGGUAGCGCGAGAAGAAGCCCCGGCUAACUUCGUGCAAGCAGCCGCGGUAAUACGAAGGGGGCUAGCGUUGUUCGGAAUCACUGGGCGUACAGCGCAUGCAGGCGGAUCGUUAAGUCGGGGGUGAAAUCCCGAGGCUCAACCUCGGAACUGCCUUCGAUACUGGCGAUCUUGAGUCCGGGAGAGGUGGGUGGAACUGCGAGUGUAGAGGUGAAAUUCGUAGAUAUUCGCAAGAACACCAGUGGCGAAGGCGGCUCACUGGCCCGGUACUGACGCUCAGGUGCGAAAGCGUGGGGAGCAAACA